rnacentral:rRNA from 1 species
AAACUUUCAACAACGGAUCUCUUGGCUCUGGCAUCGAUGAAGAACGCAGCGAAAUGCGAUACGUAAUGUGAAUUGCAGAAUUCAGUGAAUCAUCGAAUCUUUGAACGCACAUUGCGCCCGCUAGUAUUCUGGCGGGCAUGCCUGUUCGAGCGUCAUUU